rnacentral:rRNA from 1 species
AGUGAACGCUGGCGGUAGGCCUAACACAUGCAAGUCGAACGGCAGCACAGUAAGAGCUUGCUCUUACGGGUGGCGAGUGGCGGACGGGUGAGGAAUACAUCGGAAUCUACUUUUUCGUGGGGGAUAACGUAGGGAAACUUACGCUAAUACCGCAUACGACCUACGGGUGAAAGCAGGGGAUCUUCGGACCUUGCGCGAUUGAAUGAGCCGAUGUCGGAUUAGCUAGUUGGCGGGGUAAAGGCCCACCAAGGCGACGAUCCGUAGCUGGUCUGAGAGGAUGAUCAGCCACACUGGAACUGAGACACGGUCCAGACUCCUACGGGAGGCAGCAGUGGGGAAUAUUGGACAAAGGGCGCAAGCCUGAUCCAGCCAUACCGCGUGGGUGAAGAAGGCCUUCGGGUUGUAAAGCCCUUUUGUUGGGGAAGAAAAGCAGCAGGUUAAUACCCCGCUGUUCUGACGGUACCCAAAGAAUAAGCACCGGCUAACUUCGUG